GGGGUGUGCUCAGAGCUAGGGGGCCUGAAGAAUGGCUCUUCUGUUUACAAUACGCCCAACAGGAAUCUCGGGGACACUGUGAUAAGGGACACAAAAACCAGUGGCCUCCCUAUGAACAAAUGCCUACAUGU
rnacentral:snoRNA from 1 species